CACGCGGAGACCCUGCAGCCCCCCCGGGGGAGACAGAGCGCGACCCUAAACAACGCUCCCUGCAAGUUGGCCCUGGAGCCAGCGACACGAUCGAAUUGCGAGGACCUCCUAAAGCUCAGGCCACCAUCCCAGCGUCGAAAGGCGCUGGCGCCCGGUAAAAGUGCCCGAGAUGCCACAAUGGACUACUCGCAGCGAAACCCCUACCGCGCAAGCCACGGGGAACGUCCACUGACUAAGUGGUUGUGGGCGG
rnacentral:misc_RNA from 1 species